ensembl:lncRNA
GACGGCGACACCUUCGGCGCCGCCACAGGGGCGCGGCCCCCGCCGGAGCCCCCCGAGGAGGCGGCGGCCACAGAAGGUUCUGGAGCGGCGCCGGGACAGGGAGCGUGCCCAGAGCUGGCAGCGACCGACCCUGUCCCCCAGGCCCCCACGCUCUGUGCCCGGGACCCCCAGAGCCACCAGCUGGGGGGGACCAAUGGGCAGCCCCAGGAUGGCCCUGGGGGUGACAGUGAUGGUGACAAUGACCUGGAGCUCAGCACUGGGACGGUGGGGAGCGCUGACGGCCACAGCGAGCCGGACGCUGCAGCCACCGGCCUGGGGACACCAGUGACACCGACCCCCCCGGAUGAGAUGGACACUGCGGCCAGUGAUGUGGUGACACCCAGCCUGAUGGACUCGCUGGCCACUGACCUGGUGACACCAGGGACACCAACCCCCCUGGAUGAGAUGGAUGCUGCAGCCACCAGCCCGGUGACACCCAGCCUGCCCGACGAGCCGGACACUGUGGCCACUGACAUGGUGACACCAGAGACACCAACCCCGCUGGACGCUGCAGCUGCUGAUCCAGUGACAGCCAGCCUGAUGGACAGCACGGCCACCAGCCUGGUGGCACCCAGCCCGUCAGAUGCUGCAGCCCCUGAUGUCGUGGCGUUGGUGACACCCAGCUGCCCAGAUGAGCUGGACACCGUGGCCACCAGCCUGGUGACACCAGUGGCACCAAGCCCACCAGAUGAGCCGGACACCGUGGCUGUGGACCUGGUGACACCCAGCUCCCCAGAUGAGCCCGACACUGUGGCCACCAGCCUGGUGACACCAGUGACACCAAGCCCACCAGAUGAGCUGGACACCGUGGCCACGGAUCUGGUGACACCAACCCCACUGGUGACACCUGGCUCCCCAGAUGAGCCUGACACUGUGGCCACCAGCCUGGUGACACCAGUGGCCCCGAGCCCACCACAUGAGCUGGAUAUCACGGCCACUGACCUGGUGACACCUAGCCUGCUGGACAAGAUGGAAGUUGUGGACACUGUCCUGGUGACACCAGUGACAUCCAACCUGCAGGAUGCUGUGGCCACUGACAUGGUGACACCAGUGACACCUCCCCUGAUGGCCACUGCGGCCACCAGCCCGGUGGCAUCAGUGACACCACCCGCCCUGGAUGAGAGUAACACUGCGGCCAUCGACCUGGUGACAUCAGUGACACCUGCCCUGAUGGACACCCCGGACGCUGCCCCAGUGACCCCGAGCGUGAUGGACACCACGGACACCGAGCCGGUGACAUCGGUGACACCAACCUCCCAGCAUGAGACGGCCGCCGUGACCACUGAUGCGGCGACCCCCGGCCCUGUGGACACCAUGGCCACCGAGCCGGUGGCCCCCAGCCCCCUGGCCGCUGUCCCUGCCCCACGUCCCCCUGCCCGGGCUGUGUCCCCCGUGGCGCUGGCAGCCGGGGCGGCCCCAUCCCACGAGUCCCCGGCUGUCCCCCCGCGUCCCCUGGCACAGGCGACGCUCUCACAGCCCCCUGGGGAUGUCCCUGAGGAGUCGGGGGACGCGGCCACCGCCUCGGCCGAGGGUUUGUCCCCGGAGCUGCCGGACGCGUCGCGCUCCCGCACCGACUCCAGCUUUGUCACCGGCACCGGAGAGGCCCCGCCGAGCCCCGCCGGGCCCCGCGGAGAGCCCGAGGAGGAGGAAGAAGAGGAUGAGGAUGCGGCCCCCGCGCCCCCCUCGCCGCGGUUCACGGCCUCGGAGCGGGAGGUGUUUGUGGGGACCCCCCCGGCCCCCCCCGAACUGCUCCCACCACCCGGUGCCUUCUCGAGGCGCGGGGCCGGGCCGGGCGUCACCGCCCCGCUCCGGGGGGCCCCGGGGGUCCUGCCC